CCAAUAGCGUAUAUUAAAGUUGUUGCAGUUAAAAAGCUCGUAGUUGAAUUUCGGGGUUAGUAGGUUGGUCAUGCCUCUGGUAUGUACUGAUCUCACUGAUUCCUCCCUCUUGACGAACUGUAAUGUCAUUAAUUUGGUGUUGCAGGAAAUCAGGACUGUUACUUUGAAAAAAUUAGAGUGUUUAAAGCAGGCUAAGGCUUGAAUACAUUAGCAUGGAAUAAUGAAAUAGGACGUUUGAUCCUAUUUUGUUGGUUUCUAGGAUUGACGUAAUGAUUAAUAGGGAUAGUUGGGGGCAUUAGUAUUCAAUUGUCAGAGGUGAAAUUCUUGGAUUUAUUGAAGACUAACUACUGCGAAAGCAUUUGCCAAGGAUGUUUUCAUUAAUCAAGAACGAAAGUUAGGGGAUCGAAGACGACCAGAUACCGUCGUAGUCUUAACCAUAAACUAUGCCGACUAGGGAUCGGAUGAUGUUAAUUAUUUAAUGACUCAUUCGGCGCCUUACG
rnacentral:rRNA from 1 species